UCUUUCCAGAAGCAUCUAGAAGCUUUCAAGAUUCUCCAUACCAUCAUCACCAACAACCGUUAGCAACAGUGAUGAAUGAUCCGUACCACCACUGUAGUACUGAUCAUAAUAAGAUUGAUCAUCAUCACACAUACUCAUCCUCAUCAUCAUCUCAACAUCUUCAUCAUGAUCAUGAUCAUAGACAGCAACAGUGUUUUGUUUUGGGCGCCGACAUGUUCAACAAACCUACAAGAAGUGUCCUUGCAAACUCAUCAA
rnacentral:sRNA from 1 species